UACGGAGGAUGCAAGCGUUAUCCGGAAUGAUUGGGCGUAAAGCGUCCGCAGGUGGCUAUGUAAGUCUGCUGUUAAAGAGUGAGGCUCAACCUCAUAAGAGCAGUGGAAACUACAUGGCUAGAGUGCGUUCGGGGCAGAGGGAAUUCCUGGUGUAGCGGUGAAAUGCGUAGAUAUCAGAAAGAACACCGGUGGCGAAAGCGCUCUGCUAGGCCGCAACUGACACUGAGGGACGAAAGCGUGGGGAGCGAACAGG
rnacentral:rRNA from 1 species